rnacentral:rRNA from 1 species
GAGUUUGAUCAUGGCUCAGAUUGAACGCUGGCGGAAUGCUUUACACAUGCAAGUCGAACGGCAGCAUAGAGAGCUUGCUCUCUGAUGGCGAGUGGCGAACGGGUGAGUAAUAUAUCGGAACGUACCUAGUAAUGGGGAACAACUAGCCGAAAGGUUAGCUAAUACCGCAUACGACCUACGGGUGAAAGCAGGGGAUCUUCGGACCUUGCGUUAUUAGAGCGGCCGAUAUCUGAUUAGGUAGUUGGUGGGGUAAAAGCCUACCAAGCCAACGAUCAGUAGCUGGUCUGAGAGGACGAUCAGCCACACUGGAACUGAGACACGGUCCAGACUCCUACGGGAGGCAGCAGUGGGGAAUUUUGGACAAUGGGGGCAACCCUGAUCCAGCCAUUCCGCGUGAGUGAAGAAGGCCUUCGGGUUGUAAAGCUCUUUCACAAGAGAAGAAAUCUUACUAUCAAAUAAAUCGUAAGGAUGACGGUAUCUUGAGAAGAAGCACCGGCUAACUACGUGCCAGCAGCCGCGGUAAUACGUAGGGUGCGAGCGUUAAUCGGAAUUACUGGGCGUAAAGCGUGCGCAGGCGGUUUUAUAAGUCAGAUGUGAAAUCCCCGAGCUCAACUUGGGAACUGCGUUUGAAACUGUAAGACUAGAGUGUGUCAGAGGGGGGUAGAAUUCCAUGUGUAGCAGUGAAAUGCGUAGAUAUAUGGAGGAAUACCAAUGGCGAAGGCAGCCCCCUGGGAUAACACUGACGCUCAUGCACGAAAGCGUGGGGAGCAAACAGGAUUAGAUACCCUGGUAGUCCACGCCCUAAACGAUGUCUACUAGUUGUUGGUGGAGUAAAAUCCAUGAGUAACGCAGCUAACGCGUGAAGUAGACCGCCUGGGGAGUACGGUCGCAAGAUUAAAACUCAAAGGAAUUGANNGGGCCCGCACAAGCGGUGGAUUAUGUGGGAUUAAAUUCGAUGCAACGCGAAAAACCUUACCUGGCCCUUGAC